rnacentral:rRNA from 1 species
UUUCGCCCUCAAAUCAGGUAGGACUACCCGCUGAACUUAAGCAUAUCAAUAAGCGGAGGAAAAGAAACCAACAGGGAUUGCCUCAGUAACGGCGAGUGAAGCGGCAAAAGCUCAAAUUUGAAAUCCUUCGGGAGUUGUAAUUUGUAGGUUGGGAGACCCCGCGGCUAGUGGCACCAAGUCCCUUGGAACAGGGCGCCUUAGAGGGUGAGAGCCCCGUAGGUACCACAAUACCGUCUUGUGUCUCCUCUCCAAAGAGUCGAGUUGUUUGGGAAUGCAGCUCAAAGUGGGUGGUAAAUUCCAUCUAAAGCUAAAUACCGGCGAGAGACCGAUAGCGAACAAGUACAGUGAUGGAAAGAUGAAAAGCACUUUGAAAAGAGAGUGAAACAGUACGUGAAAUUGUUGAAAGGGAAGGGCUUGCAAGCAGACACGGCCUUCGUGCCGGGCCAGCAUCGGUUGCUAGGGGUGGAUAAGGAACAAGGAAUGUAGCUCCUCGGAGUAUUAUAGCCUUGCGCGAUACACCCACUGGCGACCGAGGCCUGCGGUAUUCUUUACCUAGGAUGCUGGCGUAAUGGUUGCAAGCCGCCCGUCUUGAAAC